UACGUAGGGUGCAAGCGUUAAUCGGAAUUACUGGGCGUAAAGCGUGCGCAGGCGGUGAUGUAAGUCAGAUGUGAAAUCCCCGGGCUCAACCUGGGAACUGCAUUUGUGACUGCAUCGCUGGAGUACGGCAGAGGGGGAUGGAAUUCCGCGUGUAGCAGUGAAAUGCGUAGAUAUGCGGAGGAACACCGAUGGCGAAGGCAAUCCCCUGGGCCUGUACUGACGCUCAUGCACGAAAGCGUGGGGAGCAAACGGG
rnacentral:rRNA from 1 species